rnacentral:rRNA from 1 species
UACGUAGGCAGCGAGCGUUGUUCGGAGUUACUGGGCGUAAAGGGCGCGUAGGCGGCUUUUUAAGUGAGGCGUGAAAGCCCUGGGCUUAACCCAGGAGGUGCGUUUCAUACUGAAAGGCUUGAGUACGAGAGAGGAAAGUGGAAUUCCUAGUGUAGAGGUGAAAUUCGUAGAUAUUAGGAAGAACACCAGUGGCGAAGGCGGCUUUCUGGCUCGUAACUGACGCUGAGGCGCGAAAGCGUGGGGAGCAAACAGG